rnacentral:rRNA from 1 species
AGCGAACGCUGGCGGCGUGCUUAACACAUGCAAGUCGAACGGGAUUUGCGUAGCAAUACGUGAGUCCCGUGGCGUAAGGGUGCGUAACACGUGGGUAACAUGCCCGGAGAUGGGGAAUAACCCGCCGAAAGGCGGGCUAAUACCGCAUAACAUCACGGCGGCUCCGGCCGCAGGGAUCAAAGCUCGCAAGGGCGUCUCCGGAGUGGCCCGCGCCCGAUUAGCUUGUUGGUAGGGUAACGGCCUACCAAGGCGAUGAUCGGUAGCCGGUCUGAGAGGAUGGCCGGCCACACUGGAACUGAGACACGGUCCAGACUCCUACGGGAGGCAGCAGUGGGGAAUCUUGCGCAAUGGGCGAAAGCCUGACGCAGCGACGCCGCGUGGGGGAUGAAGCCCUUCGGGGUGUAAACCCCUUUCGACUCGGACGAACGCCCGCAAGGGCCUGACGGUACGAGGAGAAGAAGCCCCGGCUAACUACGUGCCAGCAGCCGCGGUAAGACGUAGGGGGCCAGCGUUGCUCGGAAUGACUGGGCGUAAAGGGUCCGUAGGCGGUGUGGCGUGUCUGGAGUGAAAUGCUGAGGCUCAACCUCAGCGCUGCUUCGGAAACUGCCAUGCUCGAGUGUGGGAGAGGCGAGUGGAAUUGCANGUGUAGCGGUGAAAUGCGUAGAUAUCUGCAGGAACACCAGUGGCGAAAGCGGCUCGCUGGACCACAACUGACGCUGAGGGACGAAAGCUAGGGGAGCAAACAGGAUUAGAUACCCUGGUAGUCCUAGCCCUAAACGAUCAGGACUUGGCGUGUCCCAUUCAUUUGGGACGUGCCGGAGCUAACGCGUUAAGUCCUGCGCCUGGGGAGUACGGUCGCAAGACUGAAACUCAAAGGAAUUGACGGGGGCCCGCACAAGCGGUGGAACAUGUGGUUCAAUUCGACGCAACGCGAAGAACCUUACCUGGGCUUGAAGUGUCCCGGACCAUCUGUGGAAACACGGACUUCUCGCAAGAGACCGGGAUAGAGGUGCUGCAUGGCUGUCGUCAGCUCGUGCCGUGAGGUGUUGGGUUAAGUCCCGCAACGAGCGCAACCCCUGCACUUAGUUGCCACCCGCAAGGGGGAACUCUAAGUGGACUGCCUCGGAUAACGAGGAGGAAGGUGGGGAUGACGUCAAGUCAGCAUGGCCUUUAUGUCCAGGGCUACACACGUGUUACAAUGCGCGCCACAAACCGUCGCAAACCCGCGAGGGGGAGCUAAUCGGAAAAAAGCGCGCUCAGUUCGGAUUGCAGUCUGCAACUCGACUGCAUGAAGCCGGAAUCGCUAGUAAUGGCGUAUCAGAACGACGCCGUGAAUACGUUCCCGGGCCUUGUACACACCGCCCGUCACAUCACGAAAGCGGACUGUACUAGAAGUCGUCGCGCUAACUCGCAAGAGAGGCAGACGCCCAAGGUAUGGUCCGUGAUUGGGGUG